AAAUCAAAGGCAGGGCUUUGCACCUAAAUAAGAGUGAAAAUUUAACAUAUGUCAUUAACCUCCAUACACCAAUCAACAGAAAGAUUAUGAGAACAUACAAACUUCAAACACAAUUGGAAAAGAUACUUUGAUGCUCGCUUGAAUUCUCAUUGCCAAAAAACAAAAAAAAAAUUUUUUCCUCAGAAUACAAUGAGACUUAGCUUGUGCUUACCCACCGUCGUGCCUGUGCAAUA
rnacentral:misc_RNA from 1 species